CGCAGGUUCGAAUCCUGU
rnacentral:misc_RNA from 1 species